AGAACUAAAAAAGAGUUAUCGGAUAACAAGAAGAACCCCAAAGAGAAAAUUAAGAGAUGGCUUCCUUGAUGUCUUCCUCCGGCGUCUCCACCGUCGGCAGAACCGCCGCAGUUCAGGCUAGCUUGGUCGCACCAUUCAAGUCCUCCUCCUCCGCCUUCCCGGUCACCAAGAGGUCCUCCAACCGUUCUACCAUCCCAAGCAACGGCAGCAGAGUCCAGUGCAUGAAGGUUGGUUUACUGAAAUGCCCUUUCCCAUUUUGUAGUAACAUUUUGAAUGAACAUAGAACCAUAUAUGAACCAAUUGGUGAAAAUGUAUGUGUAUAGGUGUGGCCACCAGUUGGGUUGAAGAAGUACGAAACGCUGUCGUACCUUCCCCCAUUGUCUGAGGAGUCUUUGGCUAAGGAGGUUGACUACCUACUCCGCAUGGGAUGGGUUCCUUGCUUGGAAUUCGAGUUGGAGGUAACUUUUUAAUGUGACAUUUUCGCUCUACGGUCUAACUCACUUUCACAUAUAAAAUUAUUUUGAAAUAUAGGUAGAGUGAUAUAUUUUAUAUAUUGUAGUUUAGUGUACAAUUUGAUUCAGUGUAUUAAAUCGUCAUGGAUCUGUCGUUGGAUAGGAUUUGAAAAAUGUAUCUUCUGUAGCUCUUUAAUACAAUCUCUAACGGAUGUGAAUGAAUUUUGAAGGUUUUUUGCCAAAAUUGGAUAUGACAUUUUGCUAGUAAAAUAUAUAUACUUUUAAUAUAAUUUUGUGAAAAAGCAUUGUUUUUUGAAAAAUGAAAUAUAUUGUUGGUCUUUUUAAUAAUGACUUGGAUACCUGACCAAACAUACGAUAUACAAUAUUUUCUAUUGUACUAAUAUAGUAAUAUUCAUAUUUGGAUUAUUAAAAAAACACUCAUCUUUUGAAUUUUCCCUCUCAAUUUUUCGUGCGUUGUGUAGCACGGUUUCGUGUAC
rnacentral:lncRNA from 1 species